rnacentral:sRNA from 1 species
AGGGAUCCCCUCCCCAAGCCGCCGUCGCCCCGCCGCCGUGACUCCUCGUCGCUGGCAGGUCACCCCCACCGGAGGCAGGCGAGGCAUGAAAACAGUACGUGCGCUAGCAUCCGCGCAAGAGGAGCUCGCCUUCCCGACGGCCCUGCAGGCUGUAGAUCGAUCAGCAGUUCAGCACAGCACGAGGAUCCCAUAGGAGCGGGGCACUCUGGCAUUUUGGUUGGGGAUGGAACUACGGUGGACAGUGCGGACCGGGGUAUGAAAAAAGAAAAACGGACCUGGACUGGCAUGGAACAUGAACGAACAUAGCAUCGACCAACCAAAAGUAAGGGCAUCACCAAUGUAUAUGGUAAAAGUGAUCCAUAUGGAUAGGACCCAUAUAAAGAGACUUUAACUAUAGCAAUCUCCACCAUGUAUGUAGAUACAAGGUAGCAUUAGGAGAUGAAAGAGAAAUAGAGAUAGUAUUAUUUAUUUCAUAUAGGUAGUCCAUAUGCUUAUGGAUACCUUUUGUUAUUUUCUCCAUAUAGACUAGUUGCACAAUGGUAAUAGGUAGCUGAAUGGAAUAUAAUAUUAUCUAUGGACU